GGAUUAGUAGUCAAGUGGUACGACACAGCCCUUUCAAAGCUGCGAUCGUGGGUUCGAUCCCCACCUAGUCUA